CCUACGGGUGGCAGCAGUGAGGAAUAUUGGUCAAUGGACGCAAGUCUGAACCAGCCAUGCCGCGUGCAGGAAGACGGCUCUAUGAGUUGUAAACUGCUUUUGUACGAGGGUAAACGCAGAUACGCGUAUCUGUCUGAAAGUAUCGUACGAAUAAGGAUCGGCUAACACCGUGCCAGCAGCCGCGGGCAUACGUAGGAUCCGAGCAUUAUCCGGGGUGUCUGGGGGUAAAGAGUUGCGUAGGUGGCAUAAUAAGUAGCUAGUGAAAUCUGGUGGCUCAACCAUUCGGACUAUUAGCUAAACUGUUAAGCUCGAGACGGUUAGAAGUAACUGGAAUUUCUAGUGUAGGAGUGAAAUCCGUAGAUAUUAGAAAGAACACCAAUAGCGUAGGCAGGUUGCUGGGACGGUUCUGACACUAAGGCACGAAAGCGUAGGGAGCGAACGGGAUUAGAUACCCCAGUAGUC
rnacentral:rRNA from 1 species